GCAUAUCAAUAAGCGGAGGAAAAGAAACUAACAAGGAUUCCCCUAGUAACUGCGAGUGAAGAGGGAAAAGCUCAAAUUUAAAAUCUGGCAGUCUCUGAUUGUCCGAGUUGUAAUUUAGAGAAGUGUUACCCGUGUUGGACCGUGUACAAGUCUCCUGGAAUGGAGCGUCAUAGAGGGUGAGAAUCCCGUCUUUGAUACGGAUCCCAAUACAUUGUGGUACACUCUCGAAGAGUCGAGUUGUUUGGGAAUGCAGCUCUAAAUGGGUGGUAAAUUCCAUCUAAAGCUAAAUAUUGGGGAGAGACCGAUAGCGAACAAGUACCGUGAGGGAAAGAUGAAAAGAACUUUGGAAAGAGAGUUAAACAGUACGUGAAAUUGCUGAAAGGGAAACGCUUGAAGUCAGUCGCGUUGGUCGGGGAUCAGCCUUCCUUAUGGUUGGUGCAUUUCCUGAUCAACGGGUCAACAUCAGUUUUGAUCAAUGGAUAAAAGUUUGAGGGAUGUGGCAUCUUCGGGUGUGUUAUAACCUCUUGCUAUAUACAUUGAUUGGGACUGAGGAACUCAGCACGCCGCAAGGCCGGGUUUUUAACCACGUUCGUGCUUAGGAUGUUGGCAUAAUGGCUUUAAUCGACCCGUCUUGAAACACGGACCAAGGAGUCUAACAUGCCUGCGAGUGUUUGGGUGGAAAACCCGAGCGCGCAAUGAAAGUGAAAGUUAGGAUCUCUGUCGUGGAGAGCACUGACGCCCGGCCCAGACCUUUUGUGACGGUGCCGCGGUUGAGCAUGUAUGUUGGGACCCGAAAGAUGGUGAACUAUGCCUGAAUAGGGUGAAGCCAGAGGAAACUCUGGUGGAGGCUCGUAGCGAUUCUGACGUGCAAAUCGAUCGUCGAAUUUGGGUAUAGGGGGCGAAAGACUAAUCGAACCAUCUAGUAGCUGGGUUCCUGCCG
rnacentral:rRNA from 1 species